rnacentral:lncRNA from 1 species
UCCCCAUCAGGCUCAGACACAGAAGGCCAGCUGCCUGGAGCUCUCUGCCACACAAACCCUCCCCUCAGAAGGGACACACCCACCUAUCCGUCUCUUGGGCCAGGCCUCCUUCACUUCUUCCUCCCCACCUCCUCCUCCCUACCUUCCUGGACCCAGGCCUCUCCAUUCACCCCUGGGGCAAGCAAAGCCCCAGGCCUCCUCACCUCCAAGUCUUGCCUCUCCCUGGAGAGGGACAAGACCUCUCACUUCCCAUCUGAUUCCGCCUCAUUCUAAGGAACCCAUGUUUCUCCAGCCAACAAAAAGCAGAAGCUUUGGAGUAGCACAGGCCUCGGAUGGAAUCCUGCCUCUGAGAUGGGCUUGUUGUAAGCAGCAAGCUGCCCUGGAGUGGAUUCUACAGCCACAGGGAAAUGGAUUCUGUCAACAGCUUGAGGGCGCUUGGGAGCAAAGUCUUCCCUCCAGAUGAGAAGGCAGCUCUACUGACACUUUGUGAGACCCUAGAGGAAAACCCAGAUAAGCUGUGCCCAGACUUCUUACCUAAGAACUGGGAAAGAAUAAACAACUAUUGUGUUAAGCCACUAAUUUUGUGCUAAUUUGUUACACUGCAAUAGAAAACUAAUGUAAUGAGUCUAUUAAAAUCUCUUUAAAA